rnacentral:tRNA from 1 species
GCCAGCGUAGCUCAGUGGUAGAGCGGCUGAUUCGUAAUCAGCUGGUCGCCCGUUCGAGUCGGGUCGCUGGCU